rnacentral:lncRNA from 1 species
AUCAUUUUGAUGACCUUCUUGUUUUCAGCUGAGCCCAAGUCAUGUCUGUGACUUUCCACUGCAAAUGACUCAGUCAAUCAACUCACUGUGAGCUAAUAAGUCAUAUACAGAACCUGGAGGCAGAAGAGGGAGGAGAGAUGAGGAGGAAAAGUGCAUGACAGCACUCCAGGUUGCUGUUUCUGACCACCGCACAGCACCACCCACUGUGAUCCUUCCUGUUACUUCUCCAGCCCCUGGUGAAGAGCUGCCUCCAACUUCCUGCGCUCACCUGCAAUACUACAGAAAGCAAGCAGAGCGCCUUAUAGAUGCACCAGAGAGUCUACGUCUACAAAGAACAAGGAGCUGAGAACCUACCAUAAAAAACUUAACAUCAAACGGAAUAUGUAUCUUGCUUCUUGGAAAGGGAAGUUUACUUUUCUGGGGCAGGGCUUAAGGAAGUGUCCCAGCAAGACACUUGCUGAUGACUGAGCUCCGGUCAACACUGCUAGGAAGUGUCUUGGGAGUGGUGGGAAA